GAUGAACGCUGGCGGCGUGCCUAAUACAUGCAAGUCGAACGAAAAUAUGAGAAGCUUGCUCUUCUGCGGUUAGCGGCGGUCGGAUGGGUAAAACGUGGAUAACCUACCUAUAAUACUGGGAUAACUUCGGGAAACCGCUUCUGAUACCGGCUAAUAUAUCGAACAGCAUGGUUCAAUAGUGAAAUACACCUUUCCCGGCACUAUUAGACGUAUCCGCGCCCGAUUCGCUAGUUGGUAAGGUAACGACUUACCAAGGCGACGAUGCGUAGCGGACCUGAGAGGGUGAUCGGCCACACUGGAACUGAGACACGGUCCAGACUCCUACGGGAGGCAGCAGUAGGGAAUCUUACGCAAAGGGCGAAAGCUUGAUAGAGCAAUACCGCGUGAGUGAUGAAGGUGUUCGGAUGGUAAAACUCUGUUGUUAGGGAAGAAGAAAAGUGCAAGUAUAUAUGAAGGUAUUGACGGUACCUAAUGAGAAAGCAACGGCUAACUACGUG
rnacentral:rRNA from 1 species